rnacentral:misc_RNA from 1 species
GAUGAAGAACGUAGCGAAAUGCGAUAAGUAAUGUGAAUUGCAGAAUUCAGUGAAUCAUCGAGUCUUUGAACGCACCUUGCGCCCUUUGGCCAUUCCGAAGGGCAUGCCUGUUUGAGUAUCAUGAACACCUCAACUCUUCAUGGUUUUCCAUGAUGAGCUUGGACUUUGGGGGUCUUGCUGGCCUGUGGGUCGGCUCCUCUCAAAUGAAUCAGCUUGCCAGUUUUUGGUGGGCAUCACAGGUGUGAUAACUAUCUACGCUUGUGGUUUUCCACCAGGGUAACCUUCAGCAGUGGAGGUUCACUGGAGCUUACAAAUGUCUCUCCUCUGUGAGGACAGCCCUUUGAAUGUUUGAUCUCAAAUCAGGUAGGACUACCCGCUGAACUUAAGCAUAUCAAUAAGCGGAGGA